AGUGAACGCUGGCGGUAGGCCUAACACAUGCAAGUCGAACGGCAGCACAGAAAGAGCUUGCUCUUACGGGUGGCGAGUGGCGGACGGGUGUGGAAUACAUCGGAAUCUACUUUUUCGUGGGGGAUAACGUAGGGAAACUUACGCUAAUACCGCAUACGACCUACGGGUGAAAGCAGGGGAUCUUCGGACCUUGCGCGAUUGAAUGAGCCGAUGUCGGAUUAGCUAGUUGGCGGGGUAAAGGCCCACCAAGGCGACGAUCCGUAGUUGGUCUGAGAGGAUGAUCAGCCACACUGGAACUGAGACACGGUCCAGACUCCUACGGGAGGCAGCAGUGGGGAAUAUUGGACAAUGGGCGCAAGCCUGAUCCAGCCAUACCGCGUGGGUGAAGAAGGCCUUCGGGUUGUAAAGCCCUUUUGUUGGGAAAGAAAAGCAGCAGGUUAAUACCCCGCUGUUCUGACGGUACCCAAAGAAUAAGCACCGGCUAACUUCGUG
rnacentral:rRNA from 1 species